GUGAACCCCAGUUGCUGCUUGCAACUAUGUUAUUUAUUUCUUGUUCUUACACUGAGUUCAGAGAGAACAUCAGAAGAGACCAGAGUCUGAUAUUCCCGGUGUUCAGUCUGCUCAGAAUUGUCCAGUGGACCUGUCCUCAAUAUUCAGGUCACGUGAGGAUGAUGUAACUUUUGUGAGGGAUGAGCUGAAAAAAAACUGCAUUGUUGGUUAAGGGUUAGAGUGAAAGUGGAGAGGUCAACAUCAAGUGAGACAGCAUCAAAGAAACCAGCGACACAGAUGCCUGCAGACUCAGAUUGGACCCAGUGACAGCGUGCACACUCCUCUUUCUGUAUGAGAACAGAAUAUUUACAUUGUUGGGAGAGGAGCAGCCAUAUCCUGACCAUCCAGAAAUGUUUGAGCACUCACAAUAUGCUGUGUAGAGAGUCUGACUGGAUGCUGCUCCUGGGUGACAGAGUGAAGAGGAUGGGCUCAUGUAGGAGUGACAUAUGAAAGAAUCAGAAGGAAAGGAGAGCAUGAUGACCAUCUCCACUAUGACGCAUCCUGGAUUCUUAAGUGCCCUGGUGGCAAUUAUACUGCCUGUCAUAAUAGGAAGAAUUCUGACAUGCAUGUCUUCUACUCUCGCUCCGACACAGUAGGAGUGUAUCUGGACAGAGUCUAUUGUAACACAUUGAUCCACCUGCACACAUAAUACCCGACAGUCACUGAGCCUCUCUACCCAGGGGUUUGGUUUGGCGUUCACUCCUCAGUGUCCCUGUGCCAAGUAGAACUCUGCGUCCUGUGUCCAGAAGGAACACCUUCAGGAAAGUUACACUCCUGUUCAAACACAACUGUGGGACAUGAUGGGGCACUUUUGGCUUUCAUCAUGGCAGACAGCGGAGCGUUGUACUUGUCUAGUCCAUUCAGUGCAGAUUUGAAUAACCCCUACAUUUUUCUAGAGACAUGGGUUGGACACGUAGCCUCGGGAAGUACGGGUGCUGAAGGUGCUGCAGCACCCCCUGGUAGUGAGAUUGUAAAACUGUAAGAAUUUGUGUCGCAAUAAAAAACGAUUAAACCA